rnacentral:rRNA from 1 species
GAGUAAGGAUUUCGGUCGCUUUGGGAGGAGCUCGCUUACUAUCAGCUUGUUGGUAGGGUAAUGGCCUACCAAGGCUAUGACGGUUAGGGGGUGUGAGAGCAUGACCCCCAGCAUUGGCACUGAAACACUGGCCAAACACCUACGGGUGGCUGCAGUCGAGAAUCUUCCACAAUGGGGGAAACCCUGAUGGAGCGAUGCUGCGUGCGGGAUGAAGGCCUUCGGGUUGUAAACCGCUUUUGUAGGGGACGAAAUUUUUGACGGUACCCUUUCGAAUAAGAGGUUGCUAACUCUGUGCCAGCAGCAGCGGUAAUACAGAGACCUCAAGCGUUAUCCGGAUUUACUGGGCGUAAAGCGUCUGUAGGGGGUUUAUUAAGUUCCAAGUAAAAUUUCAAGGCUCAACUUUGAAUUCGCUUGGAAAACUAAUAAACUGGAGUCUAGCAGAGGUGCAUGGAACUUGUGGUGUAGGAGUGAAAUCCGUUGAUAUCACAAGGAACACCAAAGGCGAAGGCAUUUGCACUGGGCUAGCACUGACCCUGAGAGACGAAAGCGUGGGGAGCAAAACGGAUUAGAUACCCGUGUAGUCCACGCCCUAAACGAUGAAUGCUAAAUGUUCGGGGAUUCGACCCCCUGGGUGUUACAGCUAACGCGUUAAGCAUUCCGCCUGGGAAGUACGGCCGCAAGGCUAAAACUCAAAGGAAUAGACGGGGAUCCGCACAAGCGGUGGAGCGUCUGGUUUAAUUCGACAGUAAGCGUGGUACCUCACCAGGGUUUGACAUCCCUUGACAGCCUUGGAAACAAGGUUUCCUUCGGGCAAGGUGACAGGUGCUGCAUGGUCGUCGUCAGUUCGUGCCGUGAGGUGUUCCGUUAAGUCGGGAAACGAACGAAACCCCUAUUGCAUGUUACAAUUUCUCAUGCAAGACUGCCCGGAUAUACUGGGAGGAAGGUGGGGAUGACGUCAGAUCUGCAUGGUCCUUAUACCCUGGGCGACACAGGCGCUACAAUGGCAGAGACAAAGGGUUGCAAAACCGCAAGGUGAAGCUAAUCCCAAAAACUUUGUCUAAGUUCGGAUUGAAGGCUGCAAUUCGCCUUCAUGAAGCUGGAAUCGCUAGUAAUCGUGAAUCAGCCACGUCACGGUGAAUAUGUUCCCGGAUCUUGUACUCACCGCCCGUCACACCAAGAGAGU